rnacentral:rRNA from 1 species
GACGAAGGGGGCGAGCGUUAUCCAUCAUGACUGGGCGUAAAGGGUCCGUAGGUGGGUUUUUUUUGCGGAAGGUGAAAUCAUAAAGCACAACUUUUAAAAGCCUUUUGAACAGAAAACAUUUGAAGUUGAUGGGAGAUAGUGGAAUUUCAUAUGUAGGGGUGAUAUCCAAGAACAUAUGAAGGAAUACCAGAGGCGAAGGCGACUAUCUAUUUCAAUCUUGACGCUGAGGGACGAAAGCAUGGGGAGCAAACAGG